rnacentral:rRNA from 1 species
UACGAAGGGUGCAAGCGUUACUCGGAAUUACUGGGCGUAAAGCGUGCGUAGGUGGUUCGUUAAGUCUGCCGUGAAAGCCCCGGGCUCAACCUGGGAAUGGCGGUGGAUACUGGCGGACUAGAGUGCGGUAGAGGGUGGUGGAAUUCCAGGUGUAGCGGUGAAAUGCGUAGAUAUCUGGAGGAAUACCGGUGGCGAAGGCGGCAUCCUGGACCAUUACUGACGCUGAGGCGCGAAAGCUAGGGGAGCAAACGGG